rnacentral:rRNA from 1 species
UACGUAGGGUCCAAGCGUUGUCCGGAUUUAUUGGGCGUAAAGAGUUCGUAGGUGGUUGCCUAAGUCUGGUGUUAAAUACCGAAGCUUAACUUCGGCAUGGCAUCGGAAACUGGGCGGCUGGAGUCCGUCAGAGGUAACUGGAAUUCCCGGUGUAGCGGUGUAAUGCGUAGAUAUCGGGAGGAACACCUGUGGCGAAAGCGAGUUACUGGGACGGUACUGACACUGAGGAACGAAAGCCUGGGGAGCGAAAGGG